rnacentral:tRNA from 2 species
GGGCGAUUAGCUCAGCUGGGAGAGCGCUUGCCUUACAAGCAAGAUGUCGGCGGUUCGAUCCCGUCAUCGCCCACCA